GUGAAUAAUAGCUCUUCAAGUCUGCAAUAAAAAAUGGCCUCCAAUAAAACUACAUUGCAAAAAAUGGGAAAGAAACAGAAUGGGAAGAGUAAAAAGGUUGAAGAGGCAGAGCCUGAAGAAUUUGUGGUGGAAAAAGUACUGGAUCGACGUGUAGUAAAUGGGAAAGUGGAGUAUUUCCUGAAGUGGAAGGAAUUUACAGAUGCUGACAAUACUUGGGAACCUGAAGAAAAUUUGGAUUGUCCAGAGUUAAUUGAAGCAUUUCUUAAUUCUCAAAAAGCUGGUAAAGAAAAAGAUGGUACAAAAAGAAAAUCUUUAUCUGACAGUGAAUCUGAUGACAGCAAAUCAAAGAAGAAAAGAGAUGCUGCUGACAAACCAAGAGGCUUUGCCAGAGGUCUUGAUCCUGAAAGAAUAAUUUGUGUCACAGAUAGCAGUGGAGAAUUAAUGUUUCUUAUGAAAUGGAAAGAUUCAGAUGAGGCAGAUUUGGUGCUGGCAAAAGAGGCAAAUAUGAAGUGUCCUCAAAUUGUAAUAGCUUUUUAUGAAGAGAGACUAACUUGGCAUUCUUGUCCAGAAGAUGAAGUUCAAUAAUUGUUUGCAUUGCUUUUUAUAUAUAUUUAUAUAUACAUGUAUAUAAAAUCUGGGUCUUGGUUUUUGAUUUACUAGUGUGAAGAAAUAACUACAUCUAAUAAAUCAAGUUUGAUUAAAAAAAAAAAAAAGAAAUUAAAAAGCCACACUAUCAACUUAGUCAUCUCACUUCCUCUAGAAACCUUUGGUACUCGGUAGAGGCUAAAUACAUAUUUCCUUCAUUGAUUGGAUGGAUGGAUGGAAGAAAGGAAUGGCUAAAAUGUAUAGCAAGUAGGAAGCCCAAAAGGAAAUGAAAGUUUGAGGGUCGGCAAAGGGAGAGGGAUUAUUUAGUGAUAGAAAAAACAACACUGAAAUGGUUAAUUAAUAAGACCAGGCUAGUAUGGAGUCAAGUACAAAUGAGGAAAAGGAGAGAGAGAGGGAAGCCUUCCCUAUUUUACUGGAUUUCACAUUUACGUAGCACACCAAAGCCUUGUAAUACGGCUCCAGUAGACCUUGUCCAGACUUAGCUGUCAUCAUUUUCUUUCUUCCCUCUUUAAUGCCUACACAUAGGCACACACACAGCCUAAUGUUCCAAUGACAGGGAUCUCUUUGUAAUUAUCUGUAUGCAGCAUUUUCACUCAUCCUCUUCUCUCUAGUUAAAUUACCCAAUUCCACCCUAAUCUGUCUAUCUACCUAGCAAGCUCUUACUCAUCCUUAAAGCCUCACUUGGCUUACAAGGCAUCUCCUCUCUAAGGCCUUCCCCUGACUUUCCCAGUCAGUUUUCCACCUCCUUUGCUUAGAAAUGCUGCUCCUUUACCCUUACCUUGCACUUACCUCCUUUCAGAACAAUGAUCCUACCGAUUUGUAAUUGCUUGUAUUAGAUUCUGAAACUUUUGGAGAUAAGGACUUUGUCUUUUCAUCUCUAUGUCCUGCUCUAGACUCUGUACCUGACACAUACUAGGUAAAGAGCCAAUAACUGGGUAGAUGGAUGAGUGCAAACAUUAUCAAUUUAAUUAAAGCUU